CAGCGGGACGCUUUGGCGCCCUGCUGCUCAGCAGCUAAUGCUCAGUUAAUAUAUAAAUACUCCAGCUCUAAAACCAAGUAAAAUAAAUAUACUGUAUAUGUGUAUAGUGUGCCGCGUAAGCGUUCAAUUUCUAAAAGAGGCUGUAAGACGGACAGAGUUAAAAGGUGACCGAUAGCAGCCAUACUGAGGCCGGACAGUUUGCGCCUGAACUCCCCUCGCGAUUGACGGGAACCAGAGACUCUUCCCAUGAACGGAAACAACACGAACAGUGAGUACAGAAGGCCUUAGAGAGCGGCUACGUGCCCGUGCGUUAAAGCAGGUACGUGAGUGCGCAAGCUGUGCGUGUAGACGCAAGCUGCCUGGUUUCUCCGCCAGUGUUUUUGUUUUUAAUCUUUUUGAUUUAUUUAAGGAGGGUUAAGUCGGUUUCUCCACCGAAGGAGGUUUAAAGAGGUUUCUCCACCGAAUAGAAGGAGGGUAAGGACGGUUUCUCCACCGAAAGGAGGAUAGAGCUCUAUAAAGAUAAAAAA